rnacentral:lncRNA from 1 species
GGCAUGUGGCUUCCAAGACCAUCAAAGUGGGGACCCUAGAGCCAGCAGCAACAGGGAGAUAUGGCCAGGCCAUUCAUGGAUCCCUGAAGACCCAGACCCAGACCCACACAGAAACAGAUGUUCCCAAGGUCCCACUGCAUAUAUAUCAAAUCAACAAGGUCCCUACCAAGGUGUGUCCAGCGGCUGCUGCUGCCCCCAAAUCCCCAGCCACAAUGUCUACAGCACCAAAGAGUGCACCACAGACACGCCCCUCAUCCCCAGCAACAGUCACGACAGUCACGACAGUCACGAAGAUGCCAGCUCC